rnacentral:tRNA from 1 species
GCCCUCGUAGCUCAGCACGGAUUUAGAGCACCGGCCUUCGAAGCCGGGUGUCGCAGGUUCGAAUCCUGCCGAGGGCG